AGUGGAGAGUCCGUGAGCACCAUGUUGCUAAGCAACUAGGAAGCGCUCUUGGACAACGCGGACUUAUCCUGUCCAACCAAGGCAGGGGAAAUCUCACAGACAGCAGCAGGACACAGCCUGCACACCAAGCUCGGGAGGAGCUGGGCAGACUCCGUUUACAGAAGCAAGAUGUUUUUAAAAGAGAUACAGAACCAAAUGAAUAAGGAAAAUAUCAAGGAGUGAAGAGGAAAUCAGAAUAUUCUCAGAUGAAGAAAAGCAGAGAAUUUGUCAUUGGGAGACCUGCCCUAAAAGAAUGGCCCUAAUGGAAGUUCCUAAAAAAAGAGGAGACACUGAUAAAAAAAAAAAAAAAAAAAAAAAAAAACUUGAAGUAUUAUAAAAGUAUCAUAAAGAAAGAGGAGCAGGAGCAUAGUAAGCAAAAAUAUGGCUACUUGCCCUCAAAAGAAGGAGGAAGAGGGGGAGGAGGAAGAGCUGCAAGUGGUGCCGUGUCACCUCUGAAAGCACCACCCUGGAGGCCCCGUGAUUUAUAAGGACAGUAGUUAAUAGUUUCUGUCAUCAGAGAGGGUCUAGGGUCCUCCUAGAACUUGCUGUCAUGUGGAUAGAUUUCCAACAAUGAACCUAGCCAGCUCCUCCUCCCGCGCUUGAUGUCCCCCUCUCCCAGAGGCCAGUAUGUGCACCUGUAACAUCAGACACAAUUUCAAAGAAGACAUAACCUUGGGAACUCUGAACCAUCCAUUGAUGAUGAAUAUUUUCACCACCUAAAGAUCCCCACAAAGCAGCCCCAUGCAAUGACAUAGUUGGCUAGGAAACUGCUUUCUUCAGCCAUUUCCUUAUGGACAAUGUUGUGGUCACUUAGCCACUUUAUUGGAAGCCAACUUGGCCUUUGCUUGUUCUACUAACUACCCCCUGCACUUGCCCGCUUCUCUCUCCACCCCUCACCAGCCAACAUUCAAAGUCCUACACCAUCUUAUGUAUUUUAGGUAAAUUUAAUCUCACUUUUUGUUUACCAUUUCUUACUCCAGAUAUCAAAAUUUGUCAGCAACUACGGUAACUGAUGUUAAGUUUCUCUAGAGUAAAUUUCUUUUUAGCAAGGUUGAUAGAAUAUUCAAUAAAACUGGACAUAACCUAUC